CCUACGGGUGGCAGCAGUGGGGAAUAUUGGGCAAUGGGCGCAAGCCUGACCCAGCAACGCCGCGUGAAGGAAGAAGGCUUUCGGGUUGUAAACUUUUUUUGUCAGGGACGAAGCUAGCGACGGUACCUGACGAAUCAGCCACUGCUAACUACGUGGCAGCAGCCGCGGUAAUACGGAGGGGGCAAGCGUUAUCCGGAUUUAGUGGGUGUAAGGGGCGUGUAGGCGGGGAAGCAAGUCAGAUGUGAAAACCACGGGCUCAACCUGUGGCCUGCAUUUGAAACUGGUUUUCUUGAGUGCUGGAGAGGUAAUAGGAAUUCCGUGUGUAGCGGUGAAAUGCGUAGAUAUACGGAGGAACACCGGUGGCGAAGGCGGAUUGCUGGACAGUAACUGACGCUGAGGCGCGAAAGCGUGGGGAGCAAACAGGAUUAGAUACCCGAGUAGUC
rnacentral:rRNA from 1 species